CAGGAGUGGGGCUGUCAGAGUCACUGAAAGUGAAGCACAAUUCAACAUAAAUAAGCAGCCUUGAGAACCAUCAGCAGAAUAUUAAAUCAAAAUACUGAUUUAUUCUGUAUUAACUGCCCUGUGGUUUCAGCUCCAGCCAAGAAAGGCCUCUGAACUCUCUGUGUGCAGAGAUUUUGCCUUUGGUGGGUAUUAUAAUAAUGGAAUCAUGGAAUGAUUUGGGUUGAAAAGGACCUAAAAGCCCAUCUCAUUCUACACCUGCCAUGGGCAGGACACCCUUCACUGUCCCGGGCAGGACAAGCUGGCCUCGGGCACCUCCCGGGCUGGGGCAGCCUGUGCCAGCCUGCCAGCACUGUCCCAGGGAGGAAUUUCUUCCUCACUUCUUCCAGUGUAAAACUAUUGUCUUGUCCUAUCGCUAUCUGCCUGUGUAAAAAGUCACUCUCCAUCCUUUCACCAGCCGCCUUUAGGCCCUGAAGGGGCUGUGGGCUUUCCCUGGAGCUUUCUCUUCUCCCGGUGAAGGCCCCCAGCGCUCCCAGCCCGGCUGCAGAGCGGGGAGCUCCAGUCCCCGGAGCAUCUCCGGGACUCCCUUCGCACCAGCAGCUCCAAAACCAACCCCCACCGGCUCGGGCCGUUCCCGAGCGGCACGGGAGCUGUUCUCUGCCGGUCCCGAGCCCCACAGCGCCGGGCUCCGCUGCCGGCACUUCUCCUCCCGUUCCCCAGCUCCGCUCCCGGCGCUUCCCGGAGGAUCCCGGGCGCCGCUGCAGUCCCGGCUCCCGCCGCACGAGGGCGCUGUCCCCGGCGGGCCGUGCCCUGCUCGGCGCUCCGGCCCGCGGCUGCUCUCGGUGCUUUCCCGGGCCCGCUCCCGGUCCCCGCUUCCGCUCCCCGCUUCUGGCCGCGUGGCGCUGAGAGAGGCUCGGGGACAUGGCGGGCACGGGGAUUUCCUGCGGGGGCUCAGCCCCAGAGAAGCCACAGCUCCAGAUGGUGACAUGGAUGAGACUCGGUGCUUCCAUUCCUGAGGUGAGGGCGCACCAGGUGGCUGGACUGAGAGGUGAUUCUGCAGGAUGGUGAGAGCUGCUCUUGCAGUUUGGUUAUACCUGUGUGGUCUUUUUGGGUUAUCACAGAAUCAUAGAAGGGUUUGAGCUGGAAAGGACCAUAAAGACCAUCUCCUUCCACCCCCUGCCAUGGGCAGGGACACCUCCCACUAGCCCAGGUUGCCCCAAGCCCUGUCCAGCCUGGCCUUGAACAUGUCCAUAGGGUAGCCACAGCUUGUCUGGGCAACCUCUGCUAGGGCCUCCCCACCGUCAUUAAUUCCCUAAUACCCCACCUAACCCCUCCCUGUGCCUGUUGAAACCAUUCCCCCUUGUCCUGGCACUCCAUGCUCUUGUAAAGUCCCCCUCCAGUUUUCCUGUAGGUUAUAGAAAGCAGUUGUGCCUAAAUGGAUGGUGAACAUGAAUAAAAUCCAUUUUUCAAAGUUGACUUGCUUUUUU
rnacentral:lncRNA from 1 species